UACGAAGGGGGCUAGCGUUGUUCGGAUUUACUGGGCGUAAAGCGCACGUAGUCGGCUUUGCAAGUCGGGUGUGAAAUCCCCGGGCUCAACCUGGGAACUGCAUCCGAGACUGCAUUGCUAGAGUAUGGGAGAGGGAAGCGGAAUUUCUGGUGUAGCAGUGAAAUGCGUAGAUAUCAGAAGGAACAUCAGUGGCGAAGGCGGCUUCCUGGACCAAUACUGACGAUCAGGUGCGAAAGCGUGGGGAGCAAACAGG
rnacentral:rRNA from 1 species